rnacentral:rRNA from 2 species
UAGGGAAUCUUCCGCAAUGGACGAAAGUCUGACGGAGCAACGCCGCGUGAGUGAUGAAGGCUUUCGGGUCGUAAAACUCUGUUGUUAGGGAAGAACAAGUGCUAGUUGAAUAAGCUGGCACCUUGACGGUACCUAACCAGAAAGCCACGGCUAACUACGUGCCAGCAGCCGCGGUAAUACGUAGGUGGCAAGCGUUAUCCGGAAUUAUUGGGCGUAAAGCGCGCGCAGGUGGUUUCUUAAGUCUGAUGUGAAAGCCCACGGCUCAACCGUGGAGGGUCAUUGGAAACUGGGAGACUUGAGUGCAGAAGAGGAAAGUGGAAUUCCAUGUGUAGCGGUGAAAUGCGUAGAGAUAUGGAGGAACACCAGUGGCGAAGGCGACUUUCUGGUCUGUAACUGACACUGAGGCGCGAAAGCGUGGGGAGCAAACAGGAUUAGAUACCCUGGUAGUCCACGCCGUAAACGAUGAGUGCUAAGUGUUAGAGGGUUUCCGCCCUUUAGUGCUGAAGUUAACGCAUUAAGCACUCCGCCUGGGGAGUACGGCCGCAAGGCUGAAACUCAAAGGAAUGGACGG